rnacentral:rRNA from 1 species
UAGGGAAUCUUCGGCAAUGGGGGCAACCCUGACCGAGCAACGCCGCGUGAGUGAAGAAGGUUUUCGGAUCGUAAAGCUCUGUUGUAAGAGAAGAACGUGUGUGAGAGUGGAAAGUUCACACAGUGACGGUAACUUACCAGAAAGGGACGGCUAACUACGUGCCAGCAGCCGCGGUAAUACGUAGGUCCCGAGCGUUGUCCGGAUUUAUUGGGCGUAAAGCGAGCUCAGGCGAUUUAAUGAGUCUGAAGUUAAAGGCAGUGGCUUAACCAUUGUUCGCUUUGGAAACUGUUAGACUUGAGUGCAGAAGGGGAGAGUGGAAUUCCAUGUGUAGCGGUGAAAUGCGUAGAUAUAUGGAGGAACACCGGUGGCGAAAGCGGCUCUCUGGUCUGUAACUGACGCUGAGGCUCGAAAGCGUGGGGAGCAAACAGG